rnacentral:rRNA from 1 species
GAUGAACGCUGGCGGCGUGCCUAAUACAUGCAAGUCGAGCGAACAGACGAGGAGCUUGCUCCUCUGACGUUAGCGGCGGACGGGUGAGUAACACGUGGAUAACCUACCUAUAAGACUGGGAUAACUUCGGGAAACCGGAGCUAAUACCGGAUAAUAUAUUGAACCGCAUGGUUCAAUAGUGAAAGACGGUUUUGCUGUCACUUAUAGAUGGAUCCGCGCCGCAUUAGCUAGUUGGUAAGGUAACGGCUUACCAAGGCAACGAUGCGUAGCCGACCUGAGAGGGUGAUCGGCCACACUGGAGCUUAGACGCGGUCCAGGGUCCUACGGGAGGCAGCAGUAGGGAAUCUUCCGCAAUGGGCGAAAGCCUGACGGAGCAACGCCGCGUGAGUGAUGAAGGUCUUCGGAUCGUAAAACUCUGUUAUUAGGGAAGAACAAAUGUGUAAGUAACUAUGCACGUCUUGACGGUACCUAAUCAGAAAGCCACGGCUAACUACGUG